rnacentral:lncRNA from 1 species
UGGGAGAAUCACCAUUCAAUCUAAUAUAUGGAAUGAAAGCAAUGAUCUCAUUGGAGAUUGGACUGCCAUCAAUGAGGGUCGAACAGUAUAUAGAACAUAGUAAUUUCGAUUGUUGAAGAGUCGACUUGGACUUGCUCUCAAAAAUUUGACAGCAAGCAUAGAUAAGAAUGGCUGCAUACCGAUAAAGAGUGGUCUGAUAUUACAAUGCAAGAGUUAAACCGAAGGUCUUCCAUCCUAAAGACUUGGUCCUGAGAAAAGCAAAAAUUUCAAAUCCUUGGAUCAAAGAAAACUAUCUCCAAACUGGGAAGGCCCCUAUAGGGU